CCAGUCCUGAAAAUUGCUAAAACUUUGAAUGUGUCCCUGAGUGCAGUCACAAAAACCAUCAAGCGCUACGUUAAAACUGUCUCACAUGUCUCAAUGAACCUGGCACACCUGUUACCCUUCAGACGCUUUCUUCUGAAGCGUUCUUUAGGAGCUGCCCGACAGAUGACUAGUGUUGGAGUAUUGACUUUUCUGGAGUGCCUGUAAAUCUGCCAGCCUGCCUACUGGAGCCUGUGGAUUAUUUUCGCUGGUGACUGUACAUAGUUUUGUUUCCUCCCCAGGAUUUUUGUCUCUCUGUUUCUCCGGGUCGCCUUGUUUGGUUUGUUUCCCUUCCGGAGGUUUUUGGCAAGCAGUACCAAAUCGAGUGCGCUACCAGUGUGCGUCUUCCCAUCUGUACAUCCCGGCACCACAUUCCCAUUCACAUUUUAUUGUAUAUACACUGUCCCUGAAAAUUCAUCCCCUUCACUGUAAAUAAAUUGUUUCACCGCAA